rnacentral:rRNA from 1 species
AACGGCCCACCAAGGCACCGACGGAUAGCUGGUCUGAGAGGACGAUCAGCCACACUGGAACUGAGACACGGUCCAGACUCCUACGGGAGGCAGCAGUGGGGAAUCUUGCGCAAUGGACGAAAGUCUGACGCAGCAACGCCGCGUGAGGGACGAAGGUUUUCUGAAUUGUAAACCUCUUUCGACAGGGACGAUAAUGACGGUACCUGUAGAAGAAGCACCGGCCAACUAUGUGCCAGCAGCCGCGGUGAUACAUAGGGUGCGAGCGUUAUUCGGAUUUAUUGGGCGUAAAGAGCUCGUAGGCGGUUCGAUAAGUCGGGUGUUAAAUCCACAGGCUCAACCUGUGGCAGCCAUCCGAAACUGUCGUGACUAGAGUUUGGUAGGGGAUCACGGAAUUCCUGGUGUAGCGGUGGAAUGCGCAGAUAUCAGGAGGAACACCAGCAGCGAAGGCGGUGAUCUGGGCCAAUACUGACGCUGAGGAGCGAAAGCGUGGGGAGCGAACAGGAUUAGAUACCCUGGUAGUCCACGCCGUAAACGGUGGGCACUAGGUGUGGGGACUUUUCAACGGUUUCCGCGCCGCAGCUAACGCAUUAAGUGCCCGCCUGGGGAGUACGGUCGCAAGACUAAA